rnacentral:rRNA from 1 species
GUGGGGAAUAUUGGACAAUGGGCGCAAGCCUGAUCCAGCCAUGCCGCGUGAGUGAUGAAGGCCUUAGGGUUGUAAAGCUCUUUCAGUAGGGAAGAUAAUGACGGUACCUACAGAAGAAACCCCGGCUAACUCCGUGCCAGCAGCCGCGGUAAUACGGAGGGGGUUAGCGUUGUUCGGAAUUACUGGGCGUAAAGCGCGCGUAGGCGGAUUGGAAAGUUGGGGGUGAAAUCCCGGGGCUCAACCCUGGAAUGGCCUUCAAAACUCCCAGUCUUGAGGUCGAGAGAGGUGAGUGGAAUUCCGAGUGUAGAGGUGAAAUUCGUAGAUAUUCGGAGGAACACCAGUGGCGAAGGCGGCUCACUGGCUCGAUACUGACGCUGAGGUGCGAAAGCGUGGGGAGCAAACAGGAUUAGAUACCCUAGUAGUCC